CACGUAGGGGGCGAGCGUUGUCCGGAUUUAUUGGGCGUAAAGAGCUCGUAGGCGGCUCGGUAAGUCGGGUGUGAAAACUCAGGGCUCAACCCUGAGACGCCACUCGAUACUGCCGUGGCUAGAGUCCGGUAGGGGAGCGUGGAAUUCCUGGUGUAGCGGUGAAAUGCGCAGAUAUCAGGAGGAACACCAGCGGCGAAGGCGGCGCUCUGGGCCGGUACUGACGCUGAGGAGCGAAAGCGUGGGGAGCAAACAGGAUUAGAUCCCCAGUAGUCC
rnacentral:rRNA from 1 species